CUAGGUAGGAUAUUACCCAUUAUGCUUGAAAGGAGAACUGUUGAAAUGUGAAGAGACUUUAAGCAAUGGAAAGUCAUCUGCCUGAAUUUGUGAAGAGCGUAAGAACAACAAGUCUGAGAUGUGAUUUCACCAGUUAUUUUGAGCCAGUGCUUCUGCUGAUGACUCUGCUGGUACUGUGAGAAGUGCAUACCUGUUGCACAGUUCCAGGGGAGGAGUGAACCUGGUGUUGUGUGCCCUGGUACCUGAGAUGACCAUCUUCCAAGCAAAACUGGGAUGGGAUUCCAGGGCUCAGCUCUGUAAAAGGGCAUCAGACGCUGCAGAUGCCAAAUUGGAAGGACUGGAAGCUCCUGAAAUGGCUUUCUGGUGGCUGCAUUUCUCCCUCUGUCUGGAUUCCUGUCAGUCCAGUCAAUUGGAAGGACGGAAGAAAGAACACCAAUAUUCUGACUCAAGCAAACACAACCAGCAUUGAAACCAUGUUCAUAUAGCACUGGCUCUUUUGGACAAGACAAGUCUGAAGAAUGCCUGACAAGCAGCUUUCAAAACAGGCCCUAUACUACAAGUUCACUGAUGGUCUUCAAGGUGUUCUUGAAUCUCUUCUUUGGCCCACCUUCUACAAUCUGAAGAAAUGCAAUAUUACAUAAAUAGCUGGGAGAGUUACUUGUCCCUAGGGCAUACCUGUGGUGCACCCUCUGGCAUGCAGCAGGUUACCCUAGGUAAGGUAAGGAAGGCUGGGGCCAGCAACUGUGCUGGCUCCAGUAGCCUUAUUUGAGGUCCUGAAGGCCUCAAGGAGCUUUAGCCUGCAGCUAAGAGCCUGGUCAGCAGCCGGAAUGUGGCUCCAUCUGGCCAGGCUCCAGUUUUGGGUGGCAUGCACUGCUGCCAUGUGUGCCAGCCCACUUUUUUUUUGGCAUGCUGUAAAGUAGUGGUGCAAAGAAUACCUACAUGUGCAGUAUGUGGUGCCAAAGGCAGGUUUAUGGUGUCACAUAGUGCAUGCCCAUUUUGUCUAGACACAUGAUGUAUGAGGCAUUUUGAGCAAACUUGCCUCACUAAUGAGGCAGAUGAGAGAGAUGAAGUGAAAACAUUUUGACCUGACAUCUCCUUCCUCUCAAAACUAUUUAUGACAUCAAUAAUCAAACAUGUGGAUCUUGGCUUGAACUCCUCAGUCACCUAUAGACUCAUCAAUGGCUUCCCUAUUACCAUGCCUAAUGAUUUAUUCUAACUGUGACGGUCAUCCUUUGAUGACAGCA